rnacentral:rRNA from 1 species
AGUGAACGCUGGCGGUAGGCCUAACACAUGCAAGUCGAACGGCAGCACAGUAAGAGCUUGCUCUUACGGGUGGCGAGUGGCGGACGGGUGAGGAAUACAUCGGAAUCUACUUUUUCGUGGGGGAUAACGUAGGGAAACUUACGCUAAUACCGCAUACGACCUACGGGUGAAAGCAGGGGAUCUUCGGACCUUGCGCGAUUGAACGAGCCGAUGUCGGAUUAGCUAGUUGGCGGGGUAAAGGCCCACCAAGGCGACGAUCCGUAGCUGGUCUGAGAGGAUGAUCAGCCACACUGGAACUGAGAGACGGUCCAGACUCCUACGGAAGGCAGGAGUGGGAAAAAUUGGAAAAGGGGCGAAAGCCUGAUCCAGCCAUACCGCGUGGGUGAAGAAGGCCUUCGGGUUGUAAAGCCCUUUUGUUGGGAAAGAAAAGCAGCAGGUUAAUACCCCGCUGUUCUGACGGUACCCAAAGAAUAAGCACCGGCUAACUUCGU